rnacentral:rRNA from 1 species
AGAGUUUGAUCAUGGCUCAGAUUGAACGCUGGCGGCAUGCUUUACACAUGCAAGUCGAACGCGAGUGAGGGGGCAACUCCUCGCUUGAGUGGCGGACGGGUGAGUAAUACAUCGGAACGUAUCCUGUAGUGGGGGACAACCCAGCGAAAGUUGGGCUAAUACCGCAUACGCUCUUUGGAGGAAAGUGGGGGACCCGCAAGGGCCUCACGCUAGAGGGGCGGCCGAUGUCCGAUUAGCUAGUUGGUGGGGUAAAGGCUCACCAAGGCGACGAUCGGUAGCUGGUCUGAGAGGAUGAUCAGCCACACUGGGACUGAGACACGGCCCAGACUCCUACGGGAGGCAGCAGUGGGGAAUUUUGGACAAUGGGGGCAACCCUGAUCCAGCCAUGCCGCGUGCGGGAAGAAGGCCUUCGGGUUGUAAACCGCUUUUGUUCGGGAAGAAAAGGCCCUGGUUAAUACCUUGGGUUCUUGACGGUACCGGAAGAAUAAGCACCGGCUAACUACGUGCCAGCAGCCGCGGUAAUACGUAGGGUGCGAGCGUUAAUCGGAAUUACUGGGCGUAAAGCGUGCGCAGGCGGUUCGUUGUGUCUGAUGUGAAAGCCCCGGGCUUAACCUGGGAAUGGCAUUGGAAACUGGCGAGCUGGAGUGUGGCAGAGGGGGGUGGAAUUCCGCGUGUAGCAGUGAAAUGCGUAGAGAUGCGGAGGAACACCGAUGGCGAAGGCAGCCCCCUGGGCCAACACUGACGCUCAGGCACGAAAGCGUGGGGAGCAAACAGGAUUAGAUACCCUAGUAGUCC